rnacentral:rRNA from 1 species
CCUACGGGAGGCUGCAGUGAGGAAUAUUGGUCAAUGGACGAGAGUCUGAACCAGCCAAGUAGCGUGAAGGAUGACUGCCCUAUGGGUUGUAAACUUCUUUUAUAUGGGAAUAAAAUGUUCCACGUGUGGGAUUUUGUAUGUACCAUAUGAAUAAGGAUCGGCUAACUCCGUGCCAGCAGCCGCGGUAAUACGGAGGAUCCGAGCGUUAUCCGGAUUUAUUGGGUUUAAAGGGAGCGUAGGUGGAUUGUUAAGUCAGUUGUGAAAGUUUGCGGCUCAACCGUAAAAUUGCAGUUGAAACUGGCAGUCUUGAGUACAGUAGAGGUGGGCGGAAUUCGUGGUGUAGCGGUGAAAUGCUUAGAUAUCGCGAAGAACUCCGAUUGCGAAGGCAGUUCACUGGACUGCAACUGACACUGAGGCUCGAAAGUGUGGGUAUCAAACAGGAUUAGAUACCCGUGUAGUC